GGAAAAGGCCUUUCAGGCAUCCUCUCCCAAACUUCCAAAUGGCCAGCCUUCGGGUUGGCCUUUUUUUGGCUUCAA
rnacentral:sRNA from 1 species